rnacentral:rRNA from 1 species
GAUUAACGCUAGCGGCAGGCCUAAUACAUGCAAGUCGAACGGUAAAUAGUAGCAAUAUUAUGAGAGUGGCGCACGGGUAAGUAACGCGUAUGCAACCUACCUAUAACAGGGGAAUAGCUCAGAGAAAUCUGAAUUAACGCCGCAUAACAUUAUUUAUGGCAUCAUAAGAUAAUCAAAACUCCGGUGGUUAUAGAUGGGCAUGCGUGACAUUAGCUAGUUGGUGAGGUAAUGGCUCACCAAGGCUUCGAUGUCUAGGGGGUCUGAGAGGAUGAUCCCCCACACUGGUACUGAGACACGGACCAGACUCCUACGGGAGGCAGCAGUAAGGAAUAUUGGUCAAUGGGCGCAAGCCUGAACCAGCCAUGCCGCGUGCAGGAUGACGGCCCUAUGGGUUGUAAACUGCUUUUAUACGGGAAGAAACCCAUCUACGUGUAGAUGGCUGA